UUGGACACCGAAUCACCGUAUAUCCACAAGAUACUUUUGGCAUCACGAGGACUAAUUUGUUGUGACAAACUCAAGUCUGUAAUUAAACUAUAUGAAUGGAAGUUCACUUAAUUGCUACACAACCACGUAUCUAUUUAUGGAACAAAGAAUCUUACCAAAAACGUUGGUGGAAUAAUUUGGUUUUGCAACGUUAAUGAGAAUCGGUUUUCCAUUUUCCAAGGCUUUCAUUAAAUACGGGUGAUCUCCGUUUAAGGCGCCAUCUGCCUGGUUUUUUCCUUGAGAGCUUCCUGCAUAUUGAAAUAAAGCAUUCCAAUCUCAA